rnacentral:rRNA from 1 species
UACAGAGGUCCCAAGCGUUGUUCGGAUUCACUGGGCGUAAAGGGUGCGUAGGCGGUCGGGUAAGUCUGACGUGAAAUCUUCGAGCCUAACCCGGAAACUGCGUCGGAUACUAUUCGGCUAGAGGAAUGGAGGGGAGACUGGAAUACUUGGUGUAGCAGUGAAAUGCGUAGAUAUCAAGUGGAACACCAGUGGCGAAGGCGAGUCUCUGGACAUUUCCUGACGCUGAGGCACGAAAGCCAGGGGAGCAAACGGG